rnacentral:lncRNA from 1 species
GCACACAAUAAAUUGAGUUUAGUGAAGCAUUGCAUUGCAAGGUCUGAAGUCCUAUAAUAGCUUAGAUGUAAAUAUAAUUUUUGACAUGAAGUUCGAGGUAGAGGCCGGCAGGCAACCAUGUAAGAAGCAAAUCAGGUUGAUUCUUCGCUCUCAAGACGAAUCCUCUUGGUACCAACCUCGUCGCUAGCCGGCACCCUAUUCUCCUUUGCUUCCACCGAACAUCUCUUGUAUGGUUUGAAGCCUGUUUUGCGUGAUUUAAGCUUCAGGUGUGACAGUUCAUUGGGGAAGGAAGUUCUUGGCUCAUCCAUCAUGUCAAGAUCAUGAUCAAUUGUUGUGGCGUUCUUGUUGAGGUCAACCGUCACUGUGGUCACUUCAUCUUCCUCCUCCUUGGCAACCUCCUUUGAUUCUUCUGCCUGUGGGGGAGAAAAGCUUUGUGGAAGCUUUUCUCUACUGAACAGCGCAUCGAAAGCCAUACGACCCUGUCAACAAAAAUGUGAAUUAGAAAAAUGAUGGAUGCUCAAAUAUUUAGAUAGAAGUGAUUUUGCAUAUUGUUGGUAGGCUACAACCUCUUCAGAAACUUCCUUCCAUGAAUCACUUGUGCUUCCACUGCUUCUAAAUUUGCGGUGGUUAGUGUCACCGGCUGAAGAGUUACUGCAGGAGGCUUGCUUUGCCUUGUCAUUGGCCUUAUCUUCUUUCUCAGGAACAUUUCCUGCCUCUACAUCGCUACUUGAAGGUGUGUUGGAGCCACAUGAAGAGCGAUCCUGCUUUUUCUUAUUCCUGAAUGCAUCACUAAUGUCAGCUCCUGUAGUAGGUGCAGCAUCAGUAUUCUGGACAGGAGAUAUCUUUAACUCAGUAUGGAGAGACAUGUCGCCUUUUCUAGUCCCAUCAGACUCUGAAGACACAGCAACUCUCAAAGCUUCAGACUGGCCUUGUUUCUGAGCCUCUUGGCAUCCCUUCUGUGCAUUUUCAACUGGGGAAUCUCUGUCUUUGUCUAAAGGUCGUGGAACAUCUGCUGUGGGAAAGGCAGCACUAGGAGCUGGUACAAAUGGAAAAGCCAUGGGGGGAGUGAAAAAAGGGAGAAGACCUUGUGUUGCCCACCAUGCAGAUGCUGCAGCAACUGUAGCUGCUACAAUAGAAGCCAUGCUUGGAGGAGAGCCUAAGUUCCUUCCUUGAACACCCUCUGCAGGAUUUUCUUGAGUUGGAUCAACAGGAGUGUUACCUUCUGCUGCUGGCCAGUACGAUGCUGCGAGCCUAGCGGCUGCAUGGAUGGCAGGGUUUGACAACAAUGUGGAAACAAGCAUGCUGGAGAAAGUGGAUGACAUGUUGACGAAUGUUCUGUAGGUAUCUUGGUUGCAGUUGCACUGCAUCAUCGGAGCAAAGGCAGCAUAGUUAUGAGGAAAAGGUUGUGGUGUGGCACUGCUAUCAAAUUUUGGAUCCGUAGAAAGCAUUGGAUGGAUGCAUGGGUUCAUACUUCCAUUGACUCCCACUUGAUCGCCUGUUUGAUCAGGACGAGUUCCGUCAGUUCCAGUAACAGGAAUGCUAGUUGCCCCAUUUCUCUCCGCCAGGGAGUGUGAGGUCCUUGCAGUUUGUUUGUCCACGUAUGUUGUCUCCGAAGACUUUGGCUUUAGCUUCAUUUGUUGCAUUGAGAAGUCCAAAUAUUCUUCAUUAGAAUAGUCACAUUUAGAGCUGACGUGGAUUCCAUUAACCCUUCCAAUUUCCGGAACAUCGAUCUCUUUUACAUCCUCUUGCAUGGUGGGAUUAAUAGAAUUCUUUUCUGUGGUGGUCAUAUCUCG